CCAUUUGGCCAUACCACCCUGAAUCCACCUGAUCUCAUCUGAUCUCAGAAACUAAGCAGGGUCAGGCCUAGUUAGUACUUGGAUGGGAAGAAUGCUGCCAUAAUUU
rnacentral:rRNA from 2 species